rnacentral:snoRNA from 1 species
GACUAAGGAUGAAGUAAUUAAAUUUUGGCCUGAACAGUUCAUGAGGGUCAAAAAGAGCUUUUUAACUCUGAAGUCC